CAGCAGCCGCGGUAACACGGAGGGUGCAAGCGUUAUCCGGAUUUAUUGGGUUUAAAGGGUCCGUAGGCGGAUCUGUAAGUCAGUGGUGAAAUCUCACAGCUUAACUGUGAAACUGCCAUUGAUACUGCAGGUCUUGAGUAAAUUUGAAGUGGCUGGAAUAAGUAGUGUAGCGGUGAAAUGCAUAGAUAUUACUUAGAACACCAAUUGCGAAGGCAGGUCACUAAGAUUUAACUGACGCUGAUGGACGAAAGCGUGGGGAGCGAACAGGAUUAGAUACCCCAGUAGUCCCUGUCUCUUAUAC
rnacentral:rRNA from 1 species